CGGGGCUGUCGUCGUCGCGGAGGGAGACUGCGGCGCCGAGCCGGGCGCUGCCCACUUCGCUGCGACUUUCCAGCGCUUCCCUGCCCGGCUGUGCGGCGAGGAGACGGCUCGGAGCUGGAAUCCCUCACGUAACCGGGAAAAAUGAAGGCAGCAGAUGAGCCUGCCUACCUGACAGUGGGAACGGAUGUCAGUGCCAAGUACCGUGGUGCCUUCUGCGAGGCAAAGAUUAAGACAGUGAAAAGGCUUGUGAAAGUCAAGGUGGUCCUGAAGGGGGAUAACUCAACUCAGUUAGUUCAAGAUGAUCAAGUGAAAGGACCUCUAAGAGUUGGUGCCAUGGUUGAAACCAAAAUGCCUGAUGGAUCCUUUCAAGAAGCUGUUAUCAGCAAGUUAACAGAUGCGAGCUGGUAUACUGUAGUUUUCGAUGAUGGUGACGAAAGGACCUUGAGACGAACUUCAUUAUGCUUGAAGGGAGAAAGGCACUUUGCAGAAAGUGAGACACUCGAUCAAUUGCCACUAACCAACCCAGAGCACUUUGGAACUCCAGUUAUUGGGAAGAAAUCUAAUAGAGGAAGGAGAUCUUCUCUUCCUGUAACUGAAGAUGAAAAGGAAGAAGAAAGUAGUGAAGAAGAGGAUGAAGAUAAAAGGCGUCUCAAUGAUGAACUGCUUGGCAAAGUUGUGAGUGUGACCUGUAAUUCUGAGAAGGCAGACUGGUAUCCAGCUUUGGUUGUUUCUCCCAGCUGUAAUGAUGACGUCACGGUGAAAAAGGACCAGUGUUUAGUCCGAUCCUUUGCAGAUUCCAAAUUUUACUCAGUAGCAAGAAAAGACAUAAAAGAAGUAGAUGCUCUAAACUUACCAAAAUCGGAGUCCUCGCCUAAAAAAGGGCUUCAGGAAGCAAGCACGUUUCUCAGCACAAAGGUGGUUCCUCGGAACUGGAAGAUGGACAUAAGUGAAAUUAUGGAAUCCUCUAGCAGUGAUGAAGAAGAUGGAGCUGCUGCAGAAACUGAUGAAGAGGAAAUAAAAAGAGAAGAGAAAAAUGAAGAAGUGCUGCCCGAGGAAGAGCUUGAUCCUGAAGAGAGGGACAACUUCCUCCAACAGCUCUAUAAGUUUAUGGAAGACAGAGGUACUCCUAUCAAUAAACCACCAGUUCUGGGCUACAAGGACCUUAAUCUCUUCAAACUGUUUAGACUGGUAUAUCAGCAGGGUGGGUGUGACAAUAUUGAGAGCGGUGCUGUUUGGAAGCAAAUUUAUAUGGACCUUGGCAUUCCUAUUUUGAACUCGGCUGCUUCUUACAAUGUAAAAACUGCUUACAGAAAGUAUCUUUAUGGUUUUGAAGAGUACUGCCGUUCUGCAAACAUUCAGUUUAGGACCAUUCAUCACAAUGAACCAAAAGUGGUAGAAGACGUACAGAAACACGAGGAACCAAUGGAGGAGAGUGUGAAAGAGGAGCAAAAAAUGCCUCCAACAGAAGCAAAAAAGGAAGCAGAAGAAAAUUAUUCCAGCAGCGAGAGCGAAAAAGAAGAAAUAGAGCUAAGAUCCCCAAGGGGACGAAGACGGCUUGCCCGUGACACAACCCCUGCUAAAAAAGAGAGUGAAGAUGAUAAAACACAAGACAAAUUAAAAGACAACAACAAGGAAAACAAAGAUAUAGAGGAAACCCUCGAGAAUGCAGAAAAGAAAGAAAAUGAAACUCUACUAGGAAGAAAAAGUACGCCAAAGCAAAAAGAGAAAAAGAUAAAAAAACAGGAGGACUCUGAUAAAGAGUCAGAUGAAGAUGAGGAGAGGCAGAGGGAGAGGGAGGAGAUUGAGAACAAAGGAGAAUCAGAAGGUGAAGAGGAUGAGGAGGAUACAGAACCUUGCCUGACUGGAACCAAAGUGAAAGUAAAAUAUGGACGUGGAAAGACACAGAAAAUUUAUGAAGCCAGCAUUAAAAGCACUGAGACUGAUGAUGGAGAGGUUUUAUAUUUAGUGCAUUACUAUGGUUGGAAUGUAAGGUAUGAUGAAUGGGUGAAAGCUGAUCGCAUUAUCUGGCCUGUGGACAAAGGAGGACCAAAGAGAAAACAGAAGAAAAAAACAAAAAAUAAAGAAGACAGUGAAAAGGAUGAGAAGAAAGAUGAGGAGAAACAAAAAUCGAAGCGUGGGCGACCUCCUCUGAAAUCUACUCUUCCAUCAAACACAUCUUUAUCCAAAACACCGAAUAGUGAAGGUAAAUCAGGAGCCAGAAGUGCACGGAACAACUUGUCAGAUUCCUCACCUUUGCCAAAUGGAACAGAAGCAACACCUCGCAGGCAGACAAGACGUAGCUCAGGAAUGUUUGAUUCUGAUAGAGGAUCAAACGACUCUGCUUCGUCUGACAGCGAGGCAGAUGAAUCAUCUGAGAAGAACAUGAAUGAGGAGUUUUCUCCAGAAACUUCAGAACUGGAAAAGAAUGAAAAACAAAAUGAUGAGAAGCUAGACGAGGAAAGCCCAAAGAUUCCUCACGCACUGAGAGAAAAUGACAGGACUCAAGUGCAGCCAUUAGAAAUCCUGAAACUGGAAGUCGAAGAAAGUGAACAAAUAGUGCAGAUUUUUGGGAAUAAAACAGAGCAAACGGAAGAAGUCAAGAGGGAAGCUGAAAAAUCACCUAAAGGAAAAGGGAGAAGGAGCAAGACAAAAGAUCUCUGCUUAGAGAAUGCAAAGGUUUCUCCAGGAAGUCAAGAAGAGGUGGCUAAUGAGUCUCUUACAGAAAAUGAAAGAUUAGACAUGUCUUCCUUGGACUGCAAAGAGUUCUCCAGUACUACUGAAACUGAAACAGAGCCUUCCACAAAAGAUAAGAAGCUUUUGAAAAGGAAGAUUUUGGAGCAGGCUUCACCUGAGAAAAGAAGUCGACGAGAGAGUGAGAUGGAAGUCCCAAAUAUUGUAUCUGAAGAGAGGACCAAUGAAUGUACUGGGGCAGAGGAAUGUAGAGGGCUGAAUGCUGAAGGGUCACUCAGAACUGAAAAUGAAGAAAUGCCAUCCCUCGUGGCAGAAUCUGUGCAGCAUGGGGAAGAGCUGAGGAGCGAGAACUUUCAGCGACCGUCUGAAGAGAAUGAUAACGUUCCCUUGAAAGAUGAGGAUGACACAAUGCCUCACAUUGGUCCUGAAACUUUGCUCUGUCAUGAAGUGGACUUGGAUGACUUGGACGAAAAGGAGAAGAGCAGUAGUGAAGAUACGAUAUCGGAAAAGCCAGAUCCCAGUACUUCAAAUCCAGCUGCCUUACCUGCUGCUGUCCAGUCGAGCUUCUCGGUGGCCUCACCUCUGACACUUAGUCAAGACGAGUCCCGCAGCAUCAAGAGCGAAAGUGACAUGACUAUUGAAGUGGACAGUGUGGCAGAAGAAUCUCAAGAAGGGCUCUGUGAGAGUGAGUCUGCUAAUGGAUUUGAAGCCAGCACUACGUCCAGCAAUUGUAGCAUAGUGGUGCCAGAAAGAGACGUUGGAGAGAAGGGUCAAAAAAGGCCCAGUGAUAGCAAUAGUGGAACGCUGGCAAAAAAACAAAAGCGUACUCCAAAGCGAACAAGUGCUGCAGCCAAAAAUGAAAAGAAUGGAACAGGACAAAGCAGUGACAGUGAAGACCUCCCUGUCCUGGACAGUUCCAGUAAAUGUACUCCUGUAAAACACUUAAACUCAUCAAAACCACAGAAGAUUUCUCGAUCACCUGCAAGAGUGAUUUCACCUCACAUCAAAGAUGGAGAAAAGGACAAACACAGAGAAAAACACCACCACCAGAAUUCUUCACCUAGAGUAUACAAGUGGAGUUUUCAGCUCAAUGAACUGGACAACAUGAGCAGCACUGAAAGGAUCUCCUUCUUACAAGAAAAGCUACAGGAAAUCCGAAAGUACUACAUGUCUCUGAAGUCAGAAGUGGCCACCAUAGACAGGAGAAGAAAGCGAUUAAAAAAGAAAGACAGAGAAGUGUCUCAUGCAGGAGCAUCCAUGUCAUCUGCUUCAUCAGACACUGGAAUGAGUCCAUCGUCGUCCUCCCCUCCACAAAACGUGCUUGCUGUAGAAUGCAGGUGAUACACGUUGCUCUGCCUUGCCAGCAGCUUGCUGCCAUGGACUUCAAUCCUGACAUUCAGCCACAGAAAGCACUCGACUGGUUUGACAUUGCCAAGUAUAUCCUGUACACACUUCCACUGCUGGACUGUAUCUGUUCUCCCCUCCUUCCCUCUCUUUUGUUGUUGUUGUUUUGUUCUGUUUUUAAGUUACCGUUCGGAGAAAUUAAGCUCAUUGAAGGUUUGUAGGCACAACGUGACAUGCUUGUCAUCGUGUUUGUUUCUGUUUUGUUUUUGUUAAUGCAGAGCAAGGGCACUUAUCAAAUUUGAAAAGUUAUGUCCAAUGAAGCAUUCAGGUGUUCUCGGGUAACCUUAGAGAAGCAAGUGCACCAGGUAGAGACAUCAGAGUAUUAUCCAAAUGAACUGAGUAACUGCUGCACUUUCACCGAGCCGUGGUAACUCGGUGAGUAGUUCCUCUUUGUGGAAGCACUUGCUAUACAGAACUGCCAAAGUACGUGUUCAGCAAUGUGCCCAGUUUUAAAGGUGUAAAUGGGACAAAAUAAAUUGUGAAAGGAAGUGUAGUUGACUGAAAACUACAGUUGUAAUAAGUCUUCCACUUUUUAUAGGAUUUUUGAGCACACAAUUAUGCAAAUAUUUUAAUGUUUAUUAAUGUUUACAGUGGAAUUGUGAAUAGGUUUUCAGUGGACUAUCUUAUCCCUUGACAAAAAUAUUUUGUCUUUUUUCUAUGUAAUUUCAGAGUUUUUAUUUUGUUACAAAAAGACGAAAAAUGAAUAUAUAACAACAAUGAAGUUAUUUAACAAGAUUUCUAAAGCUGAAAUUUUUGUGUAAAAUAAGGUAUCUUGCAACUUGUUAAAUAUAUUUAUUCAGACAUUGGAUGUUGUAUUUUUAUGUAUUUUUUAAAAUAUUAAUAAAAUUGGAAAAAAAAAAAAAGAAAAAAAAAAAAAAGCAAGCAACCAAACUAGGUUAGUUCACUCUUUCAAUAAAACACAGCUGUCAGUUCUGGCUCUCACAGGAGGAUUUACCCGUGCCUGCAUUGAAAUGGGUCCGGCUCUGUGUCCUCCACCACGCAGAUGUGGAAGCGGGCAUCUGGAUUCAACUCUGACUUUGGUUGGAAAACUUUGGCAGUCCUACUCACCUUGUUUGGAGGAACAGAAUCAGUUGGGUUGCCCUUAAGAUACUUUGUCGCGAGUUCUUAUGUUUGCUAUGCUGCCGAAUGAAUUUCUAUCUCCCAAAGUUGAGAUGCAACCAUAAGGAAUGUUUACCUGCUCACGUCAGCCCAGAGCUCCUCAGAGCCCUGAAUUCUGUGACUGUCCCAGCAGAGAGCUGCACAGCCAGGAGAGGUGGAUGACUUUCUGCCAAGCCUGGAGCACGUCACUGCCUUCCUGCUUCUGUCUCUGGCAAGAAGGACAGCAGAGACGUUUGCAGGAGCAAUGAAAACCAAAGCACCCUCUUGGCAGACCUCCCUGUUCUCCUGCCUCCUGAUCUCCAGGUUGUGUCAAGAUGAGAAGCACGACUUCCAGCUUAGUUGGCAAGGUGAAAUAAACUGCAGAGGAUGAUGGAAUCAAAUACUCUUAGAACUGUUAGAAAGAGCUGGGCUCUAGGAAAAUUCAGACCCUCCCCUGCCACCUACUGUUGAUAAGAAAGCUGGCAGAUUACUUCAGGUUGUGUAUUAGCAGCUAAUCUGAACACUAGAAAGCAACGUAAAACUUGCAUGCAAGGACAGACAGUAAGAAAAUGUUUGUAUCCUUACUUCUUUUAACUUACAGUUGCUUUUUGUGAACAUGUGUAUCAGCUAUGUGUGUACUGAUGACUUUUUGUUUUUUCUAAGGUGUAAAUUAAGCAACACAUGGUUUAAUCUGCUCAUUUCUGAUUCCUCCUCGCAUCUGAGAAACCUCUUAAUCAGUACUUCUGUCUUUCAGAGAUGUUGGGACAAUAAUAAAGCAUUAUUUCAACAGAAUUUAAAUAGGAUUACAGUAAUAAUUAAAAGCACAACAAGAGCAGGUAAGUUGCAUCUUCCUGAAGCACUGUGUUUGACUUUCACAUGGAGCAGCACAGACCUUAAAGCUAUGGGAUGGUAGAGAGGAAAAAGUGCAAUCAGCUCUUCACUGUGUGUUAUUCUGUGCAAGCUGCUCUCAGAUUGUAAAUUAAUUUAGAUACACAGUGACAGAUGAAUCCAGGCAGCAAUUUUUGAAGCAGGUUCAUCUGUGGGAAUGGCUACUAGAAUUGCACACGAUGGGUUUGGUGGGGAGGGAAGCAGGAUCCAUGGAUUCUGAGCUCACAUCUCUGCUCAGUGCUGAGGGCACCUCCUUUCUGCAAACGGCUUUGUCAGCCAGAUGGAAUUUCACCCUGACAAGUCGGUGUCAAAUCCUUCCAAUAAAAUGUUCUUUUCCCCGUUAAAAAAAUGUUCUCUGCUUGUCUGAGGUGGUCAAAUGGGUUUCUGAGCAGCAUUUACUGGAAUUCUUUUACAGCAGAAAGUCUGAGAAAAGUGGUUCUGCUCUUCUUAAGAGCGUGUUUGGUUUGAUCACUUGAAACAAAGCUGACAGGUGAGCUGGAAGAGUGAUUUACAAGCUGCAACAAAAAAAGGACUGUUCACAGAGGUAUGUUGAGCUGUUUAUUUCACAGUGCCCUUUGCAUUUUGCAAAUACUGUGCACUGAAACCUCAGUUAUUUUUAGGUCUCUGUACUUGGAUUUUAUUGUUUGCUGCAGUUUGCAGGAUAAAGGCUACCUCUGGAGAUGGAAGGAACACGACAGAGCAGCAGAACCAAUGGGGUGCUGCCAGAGCCUGACUGUAACGUCAGGGCUUAGAAAAAAAGGCUUUUUAUAAUUAGCUCACACUUAGCAAGCUAUCACCCUCAGAUUUUGAGCAAUUCUGUCAUUCUGCCAUGUUCUCUUCCUCCAGGUAGGAUGGUUUGCGAACACAUCCCCGGAGAGUUUAAAAUCAUUCACCUUCAUUAGUGACUACCUGAUGACCAUUAUUUGUGCUUGUUUGGUUUUGGUUUGGGUUGAUGUUUCUGGAGGAGAAGGGGGGAAUCCAUGAGUUCCACAAGGAUUUACUGUUCUCAUCCACUGCUCUGGAGGAAUAUAUAGACUCAGUUUUUCUUUUUUAAAUGCAACUGGUCUCAAAAUGUACCUACUGUAAUGCACUUUGGUGGUGGAUUUUCUGAGUAGUCACAUCCUGAUGAUGAAUUUUGCCAUUUAAAGAAAACAGAGAAGGUAGGACACUCAGCCAUGCAGCAGUUAACCAUAGCUCACCCUUUCUGGCUUCGCUACCUUCCCUGUUCUGAACUCUCAGCCCGAUGUGUGCAGUUACUCCUGCUGUUUCCCCAUGUUUCAGAGCAGGGCUGUGCUGGCUGGUGCUGCUGUAGGUCUGCAGCUCCCCGUGGUUUGUAUUGUCUGUUGGCUUGUACUGACAGCUUUCAAAGAUGAAAAUACGUCUGUCUCAGUUUUAUGGCAUUUGGCUUUCAUUUAGCAUUAUAGCUCACUAUGACAACACAGGAGCGUUGUGAACCUUACUUCCUCUGCAAAACAUAGUUUGCCAGCAUAGAGAAUCAGCACUAGAGGCCCAUUGCAGCUGUGCAAGCCUGCAGGACAUUUAGCAGCAGUGUAUUUGCUUGUAUUGAGCCAUGCUCUGGACAGUUAUUACAUGGUGUUGGCUCUAUCUCUCUAUUUCCCAGGUUUUCAGUCACCCAGCAGUAUUUCCAUGCAGCCCCAUCAGUUUCUUCAGCUAUUUCUAAACCACUUCGUUGCUAAUCCCUCAUCUGGGUACAGCUUGACCCAAUUUGCCACCAUCCUGCCAGCUCUGCUGAUUACGUAAGGAGCAAGAGAAGGCAUUUAUGUGAAAUACAUUGCUUGUGUUGUGCAAGGGUGACUUAUCCUUUUUAACAAGCCACUUGUUCACGUGUGCACAGUCUUACAGCCAUUGUUCAUCACGCUGCUCACUCUUUAACCCUUUCCCUUUUCACUUUAUCACCAGGUGGCUGUGCUUCAUCCCAGCUCCUCCUGCUGCCUGCUCCACCCUGAAGUGUAACUGGCACCACCCCACGUCUCCUGAAGACAAGAAAAAGCUAACACAGCUAUUGGGUAAUGAAAUAGCAAGUUGUCAUUCUGCUGUACUAGCAAUCUGACUGUGGGAUCUCAGCUAUCAAGAUCCUUUCAAAAGAAGCAGUGUUUAUUCCUGAGCCAACAGCACAUAAUCAGAACGGUUUUCUCAGACUUUGCUCUGCACUCAGUCAGCAGCAAAUGAAAAGGCAUCGCCUUGUACGCAUCUAUUCACACUGAACUGUGUGAAUGCCAACAGAAAGGAGGAGCCUGCCAGCAAGCUCAGUGCUUGGAGCACAUCGUGCUUACAGCCAGCAGCAAUGCCAGUUUUGGAGGACCACUGGGUCCCCCAGAGGGAAACAAGGAGCGUAGAGUCGUUGCCUCUGUCAAAGGUGCUGCUAUGACACGUUACUGUCACUUGUGAAUGACCUGGUGAAGCAUAAGGCCAACGUAACCUAGGGAUAAGCUGGCAGGCAACCCUGCCUACCUGAACUCAUUAGUUACAGCAAAUGACUGCUGCUUACAGUAGCUCUUAGCUUGAUGCUCUAACAGGCUGCAGUCAGCACUCCAGGGCACUCAGAAUGAUCUUAAGGCUCUAAGAGAGCAGCUGGCAACGAAACAAAAGUUCUUCCCAAGUUGAGAGAUGUAAAACAUUCACAAAUCCCUACCUGCUAAAACCAAUCCAUUAAUUAGUUAUCUACCAAGCAGCAAAGAAUGAACAAGAGUCCAUAGGAGGAUGAUGAGGAAUGAAACUGCAACCAAAACAUGGCUCUCAAAGUGUCCCAAAUGAUCUUUGGAAAAAACAUACAUACAACUGUAUGGUUCCAUUUACUUUACUUGAAUUAAAUUAAAAAAAUGUAUUUCCAUAUUACACUUCUUUUGCCUCUGAAUCAGUCCUGACAGAAGAAAAAGUAUAACUUUCCCAUCCUCUUGAAAUUGAAACAUAGUAGUCUGUGGGCCCUGAAAAAAAAAUUGCUUUAUUCCACUGCAGAAUGGAAAAGACCUCAGCAAGAGACUCUGUUGUCAGACAGCACUCUCCAACUCUUUGCAUUGCCCUCCACGGCUUCCAGUUUCCAAACACACCUACAGCAAUCUCUGGAGUUGCUGGACAUGCACCUUGACAGUAGGAAAUCCAAAAUGUGUUCUUGCCCAGUGAACACUGGCACUGCUCGUGAAGUCUGAACAGAGUGCUCUUGUCUAACGAGGUUGGCUCAGCAGUCCUGCUUUCGCUGCCAGAGCUUCGUUCUGCUGAAUGUGAUACUCCUGAAAUCUCAUGGAGAUCCUCUGUGUCAUUUUCAAGUACUUCUGUAGGCAGUGUUCUGAGCAAGUUAUCUGGAGGAAGAGGAAAACAGCUUCAGAGAGUGAUGGAGACGCCCUCCUCAGCAGAAUCCCAAGUGAAAUAGUCAGGCCUUCAUGAAAAACGUCUUGGAGCCAGGAGAUGUUAACACUUCAUCCCUUGGAUUGCUCUUGUGAAGUGGAAGUACACAAAGGAUUUUAUUUUGCAGUGAGUACUAAACCUAAGAAAGGUUGUUUUUGUGUUGUUUCCCUCCUCUCUUUCUGAAUCCUGGUUUGCAAACACUAAUUUUUGACAGCCAGAUCUGCUCUACUGUGUGGUAGCUCAGGUUAAUCUUUUUUUGACCUUGUUCCUAUUAGCUCUAGCAGCCUGGUUCACCUUCACAGGACAGCCCCUGAAGUGCUACCAGACAGCUUGCUGGAUAGGGGACAAACACCAGGGCCUGUUCCACAGCUGCUGUCGUGUUUUCAAGUGAGGGCAUUUUAUUUUCUCUUUCAAUAAUUGUAGAGAAAAAGCCAUGGGAUCUAUUUCUGAGUUACAGUUCUACAGUCAGAUAUUCAGUUCCAAACCUUUCAGUCACUGUAGAAGUCAUCACACUUAAAUACAAAAGAUGAGCACCUUGCAUGAUUACCAGAAAACCAGAAACUGCUUUAAUGCUGCUCAGUAUAAAGGGAUGUGGAAAGCAGAGAUGAUGGAAGAAAAACAAGAUAACCUGCAACUGUACAUUUUCUCCAUUCUACUUUCUCUCUCCCUGACCUGGCAUCAGUUACAGUAAAACCUGUUCAGCAGGAGUUAAGUCUGACUAGGAAACAAAUGCUGUUGGAUUCUAGAAGCACCCCAAGCCACAUCUCCCAGAGGGUGUGGUGUCUGUGAUGCCCUGCCUGGGGAAGCCUAGACUUGUAGUGAAGAGUGCAGUAUGGAACGAGGGCAGCAGCUGCUUUUACAAAUGCAGAAUCUCCAAGAUCCACAAAGGCAUUUAUCUUAAUUCUUAAAGUAUGACUUUAAAUAGGAAAUUAGGAUCAGAGCAGACCAGUCAUCCACUCAGACCAAUAUUCCACAUCCACGAGGGCCACAGCCAGGUGCUUUGCAGGAAAAGCAUCCAGCGUAGCUCGAGCAGCUAAAAUGAGCUGGUGAAAGACAAUGGCAAAACCUUAUCCAGAGUAAUUCUGACACCUGCAUUCGAGAACGUUUCCAACAAAGCAAAUGCAGAGAAUUUUCAUGGGAACAAAUGAUCUGUCUUGGGAAGCCAGGAGAGCUUGGUUUAGCGCAGCAAAACAAAAGCUGAACGGAGAGAUGAUUUCUGCCUGCACUGAGGGACAGCUGUUAAACUCUAAGGAGGCAGCAAAUGCUCAAACACAACGCAGGUUUAAAUCUUUGUGUGUGGUUUAGGUGGUUUUUGGGUGUUUUUUUUUCCUGGUAGCAGGAAAGCUGGAGUUAAGUAAAGCUAUUAGACUUUUAACCAAUUAUAUUAAUUAUACCAGUCUGAAGCCUCCCAGCAAGCAACAAAAGGCCAAGGACAACAUGCAACUCGUGUGAGCCAGAGCCUUUUCUUCUGGCAGAUGGGUACGUGAUGGAGCUCCCUGCACUGCAGGCAACUGGACUGAGCAGCCAGAGCUGUGGGGGCAAUAGAUUUCCACCAGCACACCUCCCUGCUCACUGCAUGCCAGAACACUUCCACUCCUCCAAAGACAGCUGAUGAGCUUUUCAGCUAACUGGAAGAUGCAAACUGUCCAAAUCACUUCUGAAAUUUGAGUAUUAAACAGAAAUUCUGCCUAAAGGUAAUUAAAAGCAUAGGAAACAUUUACAUACCUCUUCUGGUUUAACUUCUCUGGUGGUGAAAUCCCUUAUACAAUCCAUGAAGCAAUUUUCUGUAAUUUUAUUAUAUGUUCCCAGGAACUCCUUGAACUGCAUUAAAAAUUGAAAACACCAUUAAAAAAUAUCUCUGUCUCC